rnacentral:rRNA from 1 species
CAGCAGCCGCGGUAAUACGUAGGGGGCGAGCGUUACCCGGAUUCACUGGGCGUAAAGGGGGUGUAGGCGGCUCGGUAAGUCGGGUGUGAAAUCCCACGGCUCAACCGUGGAAUUGCACCCGAAACUGCCGAGCUUGGGGCCGGUAGAGGGAGACGGAACUGCCGGUGUAGGGGUGAAAUCCGUAGAUAUCGGCAGGAACGCCGGUGGGGAAGCCGGUCUCCUGGGCCGCGCCCGACGCUGAGGCCCGAAAGCUAGGGGAGCAAACCGGAUUAGAUACCCGGGUAGUCCUAGCCGUAAACGAUGCCCACUAGGUGUGGGGGAGUAUUUCCUCCGUGCUGUAGCUAACGCGUUAAGUGGGCCGCCUGGGGAGUACGCCCGCAAGGGUGAAACUUAAAGGAAUUGGCGGG